GCUGGGCACAGUGGUGCAUGCCUGUAAUCCCAGCAACAGCUCAGGAGGCUGAGGCAGGAGGAUGAGACUUCAAAGCCAUGCUCAGAAAUGUAGCAAGGCCCUAAGCAGCUUAGCAAGACCCUGUCUCUA
rnacentral:sRNA from 1 species